GUAUGUUGGCUGCAGUAGGUUCAUUGUAGGAAUAGGAUGCGUACUUAGAUGGAAUCUAUCUCCCUUGGUAGAUAGGGGUGUUAGUCCUAUGUGAUUUAUGAAACCGAGUUUAAAAGACCUUGGCCAGGACAGAGUUAAUAGCGGAAAGGGGUUUCCGAUAUUAGAAACUCGAGUCGAAUAAAUUUAACAUAUGACAGACAAUGGGGUUUAACGAGUUAUUAUGAAAUAACUUUGUCACUAAUUUAACGAAAAAAAAUAGUAGAAUUGUAAUGCACUGGAUCUUGCAAAUCGCAAGAUUCGAGUGUUUGAUCGGUGUGUG
rnacentral:lncRNA from 1 species